CACGUAGGAGGCGAGCGUUGUCCGGAAUCAUUGGGCGUAAAGAGCGCGCAGGCGGCUUGACAAGUCGGGUGUGAAAUCCCGGGGCUCAACCCCGGGACUGCAUUCGAUACUGUCAGGCUAGAGUCUGGUAGGGGGAUCUGGAAUUCCUGGUGUAGCGGUGGAAUGCGCAGAUAUCAGGAGGAACACCGGUGGCGAAGGCGGGAUCCUGGGCCAGUACUGACGCUGAGGAGCGAAAGCGUGGGGAGCAAACAGG
rnacentral:rRNA from 1 species